GAUGAACGCUGGCGGCGUGCCUAAUACAUGCAAGUCGAGCGAAUAGACGAGGAGCUUGCUCCUCUGACGUUAGCGGCGGACGGGUGAGUAACGCGUGGAUAACCUACCUAUAAGACUGGGAUAACUUCGGGAAACCGGAGCUAAUACCGGAUAAUAUAUUGAACCGCAUGGUUCAAUAGUGAAAGACGGUUUUGCUGUCACUUAUAGAUGGAUCCGCGCCGCAUUAGCUAGUUGGUAAGGUAACGGCUUACCAAGGCAACGAUGCGUAGCCGACCUGAGAGGGUGAUCGGCCACACUGGAACUGAGACACGGUCCAGACUCCUACGGGAGGCAGCAGUAGGGAAUCUUCCGCAAUGGGCGAAAGCCUGACGGAGCAACGCCGCGUGAGUGAUGAAGGUCUUCGGAUCGUAAAACUCUGUUAUUAGGGAAGAACAAAUGUGUAAGUAACUAUGCACGUCUUGACGGUACCUAAUCAGAAAGCCACGGCUAACUACGUG
rnacentral:rRNA from 1 species